rnacentral:tRNA from 1 species
CCCGUGAUAGCUCAGUUGGUAGAGCGGAGGACUGUAGAUGUCAUCUUAGUAAUCCUUAGGUCGCUGGUUCGAAUCCGGCUCGCGGGA